GCAGCAUGUCUCUGAGCUGCUCCCUUAGCACUCUCAACACAAGAAAGUUCAGCAUUGUGUCAGAAACAGCCACUGGCUUUCAUUUCCAUCACACACUGCACAAACGAGUCCAGAACUGUUUAAUAGGAAAGACUUCUCCA